AGUUCGGAUUUGAGAAGAUUUGUUGUAUUAGAGAUAGAGAUAUGGUUAGUUACGGAUAAGGAUUGGUUUCUCAUGAGAUUGGGAGUCCUAAUUCGUGGGCCUUGCAUACCCACGUCGAGGUUAUAAAUAGGUACCGAGAGGUAUGCCCCCGGAGAGCUUUUUGUGCCGUUUGAGAGAAAAAGUUAGGGUAUCGACUCUAUUUCGAUAUUAGAUCGAAAGUUUUGGUUAGGAGUGCUUUCUAUGCACUUUGUAAACACUGGUUGAUCAAUAAAAGUCGAG
rnacentral:lncRNA from 1 species